AGACAAGGAGAAAUUAUUCGAAUAUAUAUAUAUAUAUUCACACUCCCGGACCCGCCCACCCGUUUUCGGAGGUUGAAACGAUCAGAGGUCGGGCAAUAAGACAGGAAAACCCUUUUAUUCACAGUGGCAACUUAUCCCAGGCCGCCCUCUAUUCGUAUUCAUUAUUUCGCCUCUCUCCCCGCCGCUUUUAUUAAGUAUUUCAACGUGCAAAGCCGCGAAGAAACGGAACAUGAAACGGUUACGCGCGCUCCUCCCUCCCGUAUCCUUGGCCCCUCUUCUCCCUUGGCAAAAAACGAAAAUUCAUAAAAUGCUCGCAAACAAGCUCGAUAACAGAGAAGCGAAACAAUAAGUUGUAAUAUUUAUAUAUAUAUUCCGUGCGAUAAACUCGAAUUAUAAUCUUUCAACGAAUUUGUUGAAUCUUCGUGCUGUGUCACGAAGAAGAAUCUAUUACAAUUACCGUUGCACGAUUAUUACACGAUCAUUAUCCGAGUUUCGCUUAAUCGAUUCAUGUGGCAAAACUGGCUGCAGUUUAGGGAUGGCCCAUUUCCAGUUCAUGGAUUCGCAACCCCACGGUCGACGAUUAAUCCUUGUCACGAUCGAGUCACAAGAUUUCUUUCACAAGAUUUUGAACGGAAAAAAAAAAAAAAAAAAUAAGUACGUUUAUUAUUUAUAUAUAUAUUUGCUUUUUCAAUUCAGGGGGAGGAGAGCAUUCGAGAAUUGAAAAAUUGUUUCCAUUGUGAUUCAUCGACGAUUUCGUUCCCAAUUAAUAUAUUUCCACUCGAAUCGAUCACGAUUCGUAGCAGAAACUCUCGAAUAUAGUUGAUAGUCGUUUGUUCCGGUGCCAAUUUUUAUUACCGCGGUUAACCUCGCGGUAUCGUCUUCUGCAUCGCAUAAGAUUUUUAAGAAACGCUGAAUUCACGCGAAUUUCGCUUAGCCAGAGAUGAAAGGAGAAGAAGAAGAAGAAGAAGAAGAAAGAAGAAA